UUAAGCGACUAAGCGUACACGGUGGAUGCCCUGGCAGUCAGAGGCGAUGAAGGACGUGCUAAUCUGCGAUAAGCGUCGGUAAGGUGAUAUGAACCGUUAUAACCGGCGAUUUCCGAAUGGGGAAACCCAGUGUGAUUCGUCACACUAUCAUUAACUGAAUCCAUAGGUUAAUGAGGCGAACCGGGGGAACUGAAACAUCUAAGUACCCCGAGGAAAAGAAAUCAACCGAGAUUCCCCCAGUAGCGGCGAGCGAACGGGGAGGAGCCCAGAGCCUGAAUCAGUGUGUGUGUUAGUGGAAGCGUCUGGAAAGGCGCGCGAUACAGGGUGACAGCCCCGUACACAAAAAUGCACAUGCUGUGAGCUCGAUGAGUAGGGCGGGACACGUGGUAUCCUGUCUGAAUAUGGGGGGACCAUCCUCCAAGGCUAAAUACUCCUGACUGACCGAUAGUGAACCAGUACCGUGAGGGAAAGGCGAAAAGAACCCCGGCGAGGGGAGUGAAAAAGAACCUGAAACCGUGUACGUACAAGCAGUGGGAGCACGCUUAGGCGUGUGACUGCGUACCUUUUGUAUAAUGGGUCAGCGACUUAUAUUCUGUAGCAAGGUUAACCGAAUAGGGGAGCCGAAGGGAAACCGAGUCUUAACUGGGCGUUAAGUUGCAGGGUAUAGACCCGAAACCCGGUGAUCUAGCCAUGGGCAGGUUGAAGGUUGGGUAACACUAACUGGAGGACCGAACCGACUAAUGUUGAAAAAUUAGCGGAUGACUUGUGGCUGGGGGUGAAAGGCCAAUCAAACCGGGAGAUAGCUGGUUCUCCCCGAAAGCUAUUUAGGUAGCGCCUCGUGAAUUCAUCUCCGGGGGUAGAGCACUGUUUCGGCAAGGGGGUCAUCCCGACUUACCAACCCGAUGCAAACUGCGAAUACCGGAGAAUGUUAUCACGGGAGACACACGGCGGGUGCUAACGUCCGUCGUGAAGAGGGAAACAACCCAGACCGCCAGCUAAGGUCCCAAAGUCAUGGUUAAGUGGGAAACGAUGUGGGAAGGCCCAGACAGCCAGGAUGUUGGCUUAGAAGCAGCCAUCAUUUAAAGAAAGCGUAAUAGCUCACUGGUCGAGUCGGCCUGCGCGGAAGAUGUAACGGGGCUAAACCAUGCACCGAAGCUGCGGCAGCGACGCUUAUGCGUUGUUGGGUAGGGGAGCGUUCUGUAAGCCUGCGAAGGUGUGCUGUGAGGCAUGCUGGAGGUAUCAGAAGUGCGAAUGCUGACAUAAGUAACGAUAAAGCGGGUGAAAAGCCCGCUCGCCGGAAGACCAAGGGUUCCUGUCCAACGUUAAUCGGGGCAGGGUGAGUCGACCCCUAAGGCGAGGCCGAAAGGCGUAGUCGAUGGGAAACAGGUUAAUAUUCCUGUACUUGGUGUUACUGCGAAGGGGGGACGGAGAAGGCUAUGUUGGCCGGGCGACGGUUGUCCCGGUUUAAGCGUGUAGGCUGGUUUUCCAGGCAAAUCCGGAAAAUCAAGGCUGAGGCGUGAUGACGAGGCACUACGGUGCUGAAGCAACAAAUGCCCUGCUUCCAGGAAAAGCCUCUAAGCAUCAGGUAACAUCAAAUCGUACCCCAAACCGACACAGGUGGUCAGGUAGAGAAUACCAAGGCGCUUGAGAGAACUCGGGUGAAGGAACUAGGCAAAAUGGUGCCGUAACUUCGGGAGAAGGCACGCUGAUAUGUAGGUGAAGCGACUUGCUCGUGGAGCUGAAAUCAGUCGAAGAUACCAGCUGGCUGCAACUGUUUAUUAAAAACACAGCACUGUGCAAACACGAAAGUGGACGUAUACGGUGUGACGCCUGCCCGGUGCCGGAAGGUUAAUUGAUGGGGUCAGCGCAAGCGAAGCUCUUGAUCGAAGCCCCGGUAAACGGCGGCCGUAACUAUAACGGUCCUAAGGUAGCGAAAUUCCUUGUCGGGUAAGUUCCGACCUGCACGAAUGGCGUAAUGAUGGCCAGGCUGUCUCCACCCGAGACUCAGUGAAAUUGAACUCGCUGUGAAGAUGCAGUGUACCCGCGGCAAGACGGAAAGACCCCGUGAACCUUUACUAUAGCUUGACACUGAACAUUGAGCCUUGAUGUGUAGGAUAGGUGGGAGGCUUUGAAGUGUGGACGCCAGUCUGCAUGGAGCCGACCUUGAAAUACCACCCUUUAAUGUUUGAUGUUCUAACGUUGACCCGUGAUCCGGGUUGCGGACAGUGUCUGGUGGGUAGUUUGACUGGGGCGGUCUCCUCCUAAAGAGUAACGGAGGAGCACGAAGGUUGGCUAAUCCUGGUCGGACAUCAGGAGGUUAGUGCAAUGGCAUAAGCCAGCUUGACUGCGAGCGUGACGGCGCGAGCAGGUGCGAAAGCAGGUCAUAGUGAUCCGGUGGUUCUGAAUGGAAGGGCCAUCGCUCAACGGAUAAAAGGUACUCCGGGGAUAACAGGCUGAUACCGCCCAAGAGUUCAUAUCGACGGCGGUGUUUGGCACCUCGAUGUCGGCUCAUCACAUCCUGGGGCUGAAGUAGGUCCCAAGGGUAUGGCUGUUCGCCAUUUAAAGUGGUACGCGAGCUGGGUUUAGAACGUCGUGAGACAGUUCGGUCCCUAUCUGCCGUGGGCGCUGGAGAACUGAGGGGGGCUGCUCCUAGUACGAGAGGACCGGAGUGGACGCAUCACUGGUGUUCGGGUUGUCAUGCCAAUGGCACUGCCCGGUAGCUAAAUGCGGAAGAGAUAAGUGCUGAAAGCAUCUAAGCACGAAACUUGCCCCGAGAUGAGUUCUNACGCUGAUAUGUAGGUGAAGUCCCUCGCGGAUGGAGCUGAAAUCAGUCGAAGAUACCAGCUGGCUGCAACUGUUUAUUAAAAACACAGCACUGUGCAAACACGAAAGUGGACGUAUACGGUGUGACGCCUGCCCGGUGCCGGAAGGUUAAUUGAUGGGGUUAGCGCAAGCGAAGCUCUUGAUCGAAGCCCCGGUAAACGGCGGCCGUAACUAUAACGGUCCUAAGGUAGCGAAAUUCCUUGUCGGGUAAGUUCCGACCUGCACGAAUGGCGUAAUGAUGGCCAGGCUGUCUCCACCCGAGACUCAGUGAAAUUGAACUCGCUGUGAAGAUGCAGUGUACCCGCGGCAAGACGGAAAGACCCCGUGAACCUUUACUAUAGCUUGACACUGAACAUUGAGCCUUGAUGUGUAGGAUAGGUGGGAGGCUUGGAAGUGUGGACGCCAGUCUGCAUGGAGCCGACCUUGAAAUACCACCCUUUAAUGUUUGAUGUUCUAACGUUGACCCGUAAUCCGGGUUGCGGACAGUGUCUGGUGGGUAGUUUGACUGGGGCGGUCUCCUCCUAAAGAGUAACGGAGGAGCACGAAGGUUGGCUAAUCCUGGUCGGACAUCAGGAGGUUAGUGCAAUGGCAUAAGCCAGCUUGACUGCGAGCGUGACGGCGCGAGCAGGUGCGAAAGCAGGUCAUAGUGAUCCGGUGGUUCUGAAUGGAAGGGCCAUCGCUCAACGGAUAAAAGGUACUCCGGGGAUAACAGGCUGAUACCGCCCAAGAGUUCAUAUCGACGGCGGUGUUUGGCACCUCGAUGUCGGCUCAUCACAUCCUGGGGCUGAAGUAGGUCCCAAGGGUAUGGCUGUUCGCCAUUUAAAGUGGUACGCGAGCUGGGUUUAGAACGUCGUGAGACAGUUCGGUCCCUAUCUGCCGUGGGCGCUGGAGAACUGAGGGGGGCUGCUCCUAGUACGAGAGGACCGGAGUGGACGCAUCACUGGUGUUCGGGUUGUCAUGCCAAUGGCACUGCCCGGUAGCUAAAUGCGGAAGAGAUAAGUGCUGAAAGCAUCUAAGCACGAAACUUGCCCCGAGAUGAGUUCUCCCUGACUCCUUGAGAGUCCUGAAGGAACGUUGAAGACGACGACGUUGAUAGGCCGGGUGUGUAAGCGCAGCGAUGCGUUGAGCUAACCGGUACUAAUGAACCGUGAGGCUUAACCUU
rnacentral:rRNA from 1 species